CCUGCCUCAAAGAGGGGGACAACAGUUGGAAACGACUGCUAAUACCGCAUAAGCCCACGACCCGGCAUCGGGUUGAGGGAAAAGGAGCAAUCCGCUUUGAGAUGGCCUCGCGUCCGAUUAGCUAGUUGGUGAGGUAACGGCCCACCAAGGCAACGAUCGGUAGCCGGACUGAGAGGUUGAACGGCCACAUUGGGACUGAGACACGGCCCAGACUCCUACGGGAGGCAGCAGUGGGGAAUAUUGCACAAUGGGGGAAACCCUGAUGCAGCGACGCCGCGUGGAGGAAGAAGGUCUUCGGAUUGUAAACUCCUGUUGUUGAGGAAGAUAAUGACGGUACUCAACAAGGAAGUGACGGCUAACUACGUGCCAGCAGCCGCGGUAAAACGUAGGUCACAAGCGUUGUCCGGAAUUACUGGGUGUAAAGGGAGCGCAGGCGGGAAGACAAGUUGGAAGUGAAAUCCAUGGGCUCAACCCAUGAACUGCUUUCAAAACUGUUUUUCUUGAGUAGUGCAGAGGUAGGCGGAAUUCCCGGUGUAGCGGUGGAAUGCGUAGAUAUCGGGAGGAACACCAGUGGCGAAGGCGGCCUACUGGGCACCAACUGACGCUGAGGCUCGAAAGUGUGGGUAGCAAACAGGAUUAGAUACCCUGGUAGUCCACACCGUAAACGAUGAUUACUAGGUGUUGGAGGAUUGACCCCUUCAGUGCCGCAG
rnacentral:rRNA from 1 species